GGAGGGGCCUUAUGAUAUCUGGCAUGUGUCUAGCUAGUUAGUGUUGUCUGCUCCGUUAGUAUGUGUGCUGUGGGGUUAAUCCGCCUAUGCUUUAAUGAGCUGUUCCGGGAGGUGUUGGGCUAAGUAAUGUAGUGUAUCAUUCUGUGGUGUUCUCUUCCCUCUGUUAUCGUCAGGUAGCAAUAUAGCUUGGGAGGUAUCUAGGUACUGAGUGUAUUGUAACCCCGUCUGUCUGCCGUUUGGAGUGAUGUGCCUCCUUGUUUCCGCUUAAG